AGGGUUUCAUACGGAAACUCGUCUGUUACAAAAGGAUUUCAUUUUUUUGAACUUAUUUGAACUCCAUAGUUUUUCUAUGUUCAAAAUGCACCAUUCAAAGCCACAUCAUCAAUUUUCAACCCUUUCUGACUUCAUUUGUUAUUUUUCAUGCAUUUACUGAUUUUUUCAGUUAUAAGACCCUGAAAUUGAAAAGCAUUUCAAAUGAAGUCCGAAAAGGUUAAAAGUUGGCAUGGUAUCAUCAUUUCAUCCACAUAGCAUGUGCAAGAAAGUAGAGAGGCUUACGGCAAAAACUGAUGCACUUCGUGUACAAAACGGACAAUCUCUUUCGAAGUAUCAGGGUUUCAUACGGAAACUCGUCUGUACAAAAGGAUUUCAUUUUUUUGAACUUAUUUGAACUCCAUAGUUUUUUAUGUUCAAAAUGCACCAUUCAAAGCCACAUCAUCAAUUUUCAACCAUUUCUGACUUCAUUUGUCAUUUUUCAGGCAUUUACUGAUUUUUUUUUCAACUAUAUGACCCUGAAAUUGAAAAGCACUUCAAAUGAACUCUGAAAAGGUUAAAAGUUGGCAUGGUACCAUCAUUUCACCCACAUAGCAUGUGCAAGAAAGUAGAGAGGCUUACGGCAAAAACUGGAUGCACUUCAUGUACAAAACGGACAAUCUGUUUCGAAGUAUCAGGGUUUCAUACGGAAACUCGCCAGUUACAAAAUGAUUUCAUUUUUUUGAACUUAUUUGAACUCCAUAGUUUUUAUAUGUUCAAAAUGCGCCAUUCAAAGCCACAUCAUCAAUUUUUCAACUCUUUCUGACUUCAUUUGUUAUUUUUCAUGCAUUUACUGAUUUUUUCAGCUAUAAGACCCUGAAAUUGAAAAGCACUACAAAUGAACUCUGAAAAGGUUAAAAGUUGGCAUUGUAUCAUCAUUUCAACCACAUAGCAUGUGCAAGAAAGUAGAGAGGCUUACGGCAAAAACUGGAUGCACUUCGUGUACAAAACGGAC
rnacentral:lncRNA from 1 species